UACGUAGGGGGCAAGCGUUGUCCGGAAUCAUUGGGCGUAAAGCGCGUGUAGGCGGCCAGAAAAGUCCGCUGUGAAAACUCGAGGCUCAACUUCGAGCUGUCGGUGGAAACUUUCUGGCUAGAGUCCGGAAGGGGAGAAUGGAAUUCCUGGUGUAGCGGUGAAAUGCGCAGAUAUCAGGAGGAACACCGGUGGCGAAGGCGGUUCUCUGGGCAUUACCUGACGCUGAGGAGCGAAAGUGUGGGGAGCGAACAGG
rnacentral:rRNA from 1 species